UUGUAAACUGUACGCAAAAAGCAGCUUUUUGUCUUCUGUAAACAUAUUUAAGUCCCCUCUGUUUCCUUUGGUGCCAGAAGCAUUACAACUGAUUCACUGUUGAGCAGCUGAUAUCAAAUAGCAAGUUAUAUACCCCAAGUCCUAAGAUACAGUUUCACAAGUUAAGAAUAAAAUAAACAGAAAAGGUGAACUGUAGCCCAGAGUUAUAUUUAGAGGCAGCUAUACUUCUUUAAAGAAAAUUACUUAUUCUGUGAUGGUUCAGGCAUUUAAUAAAAAUAAUGAUAUUAAACAGCCACCUGUUCCUUCACAAACAUAUGUCCUUCAGAAAACUGAGGUGAGAACAUUGUAUUGAAAUCCACAAUGCACAUCUUUGGUGACAGAAAGAAGGCUCAUAAAGUAUAUCUGAGGAAAACUUUUAGUCUAGAAUGAACUUCAGAAGUAAUGAUGAUUGUUACACCUUUUAAUGACCCUAGGUUUCUUCAUAUCUACUGUAGACGAAAACAAUUAUAACAACAGAUGAUGCUUUAUGAAUUUAGAUAUACCAUGAGUUAAAUAAUGUUCCCUGAAUAACUUCAUAAUCCAUAAGAGUAUAACUACACAGGUAGGAACAACACAUUAUACGCAUUUCAGAGGAGCCCCACUCCUGCUCCAAUGACGUAUCCUUUUGCUCCCCAACCACUAGCACUCUCCUGCGUGCUUGCUUUCUCUCUCUAUACCCACACAUAUCACCCAAGGCUCCAGACAUGCAAUUAAUCCUCAAUUUUCCCUCUACUACCCCUGCUAGUCAUCAAGAUGGGUACAGGACUGAUCUUUCAUACAUUCCUCAGGUACAAUUUUGUGACUUCUUUUACCCUUCAAGGCUAGUCUUGAUGAUCAUUCUACCCUGAUUCACCUAGAAAACACAGAGGAUGGGAAGACCCCAGGGUGGUCUGCCUCAGGCCUCCAACCUCCCCAUUUGUUUCUUUGUUGUCUCCAAGAACACUUAACUCAGAGACCGAGUCCUCAUGCCUGGUGAGGAAUUAAUAAACACUAGCUGAUUGAUUAGUAUGAUAUAAUAACAAAGUUAAAAAGUUUUCCUGUAUUAUUGUUUGAAAUUAAUGUUUAUCUUGAAAAGCUCUGUGAUUUAACCAAAUAUGGG
rnacentral:lncRNA from 1 species